rnacentral:rRNA from 1 species
GAUGAACGCUGGCGGCGUGCCUAAUACAUGCAAGUCGAGCGAACAGACGAGGAGCUUACUCCUCUGACGUUAGCGGCGGACGGGUGAGUAACACGUGGAUAACCUACUUAUAAGACUGGGAUAACUUCGGGAAACCGGAGCUAAUACCGGAUAACAUGUUGGACCGCAUGGUUCAACAGUGAAAGACGGUCUUGCUGACUCUUAUAGCUGGAUCCGCGUCGCAUUAGCUAGUUGGUAAGGUAACGGCUUACCAAGGCAACGAUGCGUAGCCGACCUGAGAGGGUGAUCGGCCACACUGGAACUGAGACACGGUCCAGACUCCUACGGGAGGCAGCAGUAGGGAAUCUUCCGCAAUGGGCGAAAGCCUGACGGAGCAACGCCGCGUGAGUGAAGAAGGUCUUCGGAUCGUAAAGCUCUGUUAUUAGGGAAGAACAAAUGUGUAAGUAACUAUGCACGUCUUGACGGUACCUAAUCAGAAAGCCACGGCUAACUACGUG